GAUGAACGCUGACAGAAUGCUUAACACAUGCAAGUCGACCGGAAAGUCGGUGCGUGUGGCGGACGGGUGAGUAACGCGUGGGGAACUUGCCCCACAGAUAGGGACCACAUAUGGAAACGAAUCCUCAUAAAUGAUAUUAUAAUAAUAUGGCAUCGUAUAAUUAUGAAAGCGAUAUGCGCUGUGAGAGGGCUUUGGGUCCCAUUAGCUAGUUGGAGAGGUAACGGCUCACCAAGGCGAGGAUGGGUGGCUGGCCUGAGUGGGGGAUCGGCAACAAGGGGACGGAGUCAGGGCCAUUACUCCUACGGGAGGAAGAAGGGGGAAAUAUGGAAAAAGGGACGAAGAGUGUGAUACAACAGUUGUGUGUGCAAGAUGGAGUUUUUCGGAAUGUAAAGUGCUUUCAGUUGAGAAGAAGAAAAUGACGGUACCAAGAGAAGAAGUAACGGCUAAAUACGUG
rnacentral:rRNA from 1 species